UUCCAGACUCCUACGGGAGGCAGCAGUGGGGAAUAUUGCACAAUGGGGGGAACCCUGAUGCAGCGACGCCGCGUGGGUGAAGGAGUACUUCGGUACGUAAAGCCCUAUCAGCAGGAAAGAAAAUGACGGUACCUGACUAAGAAGCCCCGGCUAAAUACGUGCCAGCAGCCGCGGUAAUACGUAUGGAGCAAGCGUUAUCCGGAUUUACUGGGCGUAAAGGGAGCGUAGGCGGCCUGCCAAGUCUGAUGUGAAAUACCGGGGCUCAACCCCGGGGCUGCAUUGGAAACUGGCAGGCUGGAGUGCCGGAGAGGCAGGCGGAAUUCCUAGUGUAGCGGUGAAAUGCGUAGAUAUUAGGAGGAACACCAGUGGCGAAGGCGGCCUGCUGGACGGUGACUGACGCUGAGGCUCGAAAGCGUGGGGAGCAAACAGGAUUAGAUACCCCUGUAC
rnacentral:rRNA from 1 species